AAAUUGAAGAGUUUGAUCAUGGCUCAGAUUGAACGCUGGCGGCAGGCCUAACACAUGCAAGUCGAACGGUAACAGGAAUCAGCUUGCUGAUUCGCUGACGAGUGGCGGACGGGUGAGUAAUGUCUGGGAAACUGCCUGAUGGAGGGGGAUAACUACUGGAAACGGUAGCUAAUACCGCAUAACGUCGCAAGACCAAAGAGGGGGACCUUCGGGCCUCUUGCCAUCGGAUGUGCCCAGAUGGGAUUAGCUAGUAGGUGGGGUAAAGGCUCACCUAGGCGACGAUCCCUAGCUGGUCUGAGAGGAUGACCAGCCACACUGGAACUGAGACACGGUCCAGACUCCUACGGGAGGCAGCAGUGGGGAAUAUUGCACAAUGGGCGCAAGCCUGAUGCAGCCAUGCCGCGUGUAUGAAGAAGGCCUUCGGGUUGUAAAGUACUUUCAGCGGGGAGGAAGGGAGUAAAGUUAAUACCUUUGCUCAUUGACGUUACCCGCAGAAGAAGCACCGGCUAACUCCGUGCCAGCAGCCGCGGUAAUACGGAGGGUGCAAGCGUUAAUCGGAAUUACUGGGCGUAAAGCGCACGCAGGCGGUUUGUUAAGUCAGAUGUGAAAUCCCCGGGCUCAACCUGGGAACUGCAUCUGAUACUGGCAAGCUUGAGUCUCGUAGAGGGGGGUAGAAUUACAGGUGUAGCGGUGAAAUGCGUAGAGAUCUGGAGGAAUACCGGUGGCGAAGGCGGCCCCCUGGACGAAGACUGACGCUCAGGUGCGAAAGCGUGGGGAGCAAACAGGAUUAGAUACCCUGGUAGUCCACGCCGUAAACGAUGUCGACUUGGAGGUUGUGCCCUUGAGGCGUGGCUUCCGGAGCUAACGCGUUAAGUCGACCGCCUGGGGAGUACGGCCGCAAGGUUAAAACUCAAAUGAAUUGACGGGGGCCCGCACAAGCGGUGGAGCAUGUGGUUUAAUUCGAUGCAACGCGAAGAACCUUACCUGGUCUUGACAUCCACAGAACUUUCCAGAGAUGGAUUGGUGCCUUCGGGAACUGUGAGACAGGUGCUGCAUGGCUGUCGUCAGCUCGUGUUGUGAAAUGUUGGGUUAAGUCCCGCAACGAGCGCAACCCUUAUCCUUUGUUGCCAGCGGUCCGGCCGGGAACUCAAAGGAGACUGCCAGUGAUAAACUGGAGGAAGGUGGGGAUGACGUCAAGUCAUCAUGGCCCUUACGACCAGGGCUACACACGUGCUACAAUGGCGCAUACAAAGAGAAGCGACCUCGCGAGAGCAAGCGGACCUCAUAAAGUGCGUCGUAGUCCGGAUUGGAGUCUGCAACUCGACUCCAUGAAGUCGGAAUCGCUAGUAAUCGUGGAUCAGAAUGCCACGGUGAAUACGUUCCCGGGCCUUGUACACACCGCCCGUCACACCAUGGGAGUGGGUUGCAAAAGAAGUAGGUAGCUUAACCUUCGGGAGGGCGCUUACCACUUUGUGAUUCAUGACUGGGGUGAAGUCGUAACAAGGUAACCGUAGGGGAACCUGCGGUUGGAUCACCUCCUUACCUUAAAGAAGC
rnacentral:rRNA from 1 species